UACGGAGGGUGCAAGCGUUAAUCGGAAUUACUGGGCGUAAAGCGCACGUAGGCGGUUUGAUAAGCCAGCCGUGAAAGCCCCGGGCUCAACCUGGGAAUUGCGGUUGGAACUGUCAAGCUGGAGUACAGUAGAGGGGUGUGGAAUUUCAGGUGUAGCGGUGAAAUGCGUAGAUAUCUGAAGGAACAUCAGUGGCGAAGGCGACACCCUGGACUGAUACUGACGCUGAGGUGCGAAAGCGUGGGGAGCAAAC
rnacentral:rRNA from 1 species